rnacentral:rRNA from 1 species
GAUGAACGCUGGCGGCGUGCCUAACACAUGCAAGUCGAGCGAAGCGAUUUAGCGGAAGUUUUCGGAUGGAAGUUAAAUUGACUGAGCGGGCGACGGGUGAAGGUACGCGUGGUAACCUGCCUCAUACAGGGGGAUAACAGUUAGAAAUGACUGCUAAUACCGCAUAAGCGCACAGCAUCGCAUGAUGCAGUGUGAAAAACUCCGGUGGUAUGAGAUGGACCCGCGUCUGAUUAGCUAGUUGGUGAGGUAACGGCUCACCAAGGCGACGAUCAGUAGCCGACCUGAGAGGGUGAUCGGCCACAUUGGGACUGAGACACGGCCCAA